UGGGGAAUUUUGGACAAUGGGCGAAAGCCUGAUCCAGCAAUGCCGCGUGUGUGAAGAAGGCCUUCGGGUUGUAAAGCACUUUUGUCCGGAAAGAAAUCCUUGGCUCUAAUACAGUCGGGGGAUGACGGUACCGGAAGAAUAAGCACCGGCUAACUACGUGCCAGCAGCCGCGGUAAUACGUAGGGUGCAAGCGUUAAUCGGAAUUACUGGGCGUAAAGCGUGCGCAGGCGGUUUGCUAAGACCGAUGUGAAAUCCCCGGGCUCAACCUGGGAACUGCAUUGGUGACUGGCAGGCUAGAGUAUGCAGGAGGGGGGUAGAAUUCCACGUGUAGGCAGUGAAAUGCGUAGAGAUGUGGAGGAAUACCGAUGGCGAAGGCAGCCCCCUGGGCCAAUACUGACGCUCAUGCACGAAAAGCGUGGGGAGCAAACAGGAUUAGAUACCCUGGUAGUCCACGCCCUAAACGAUGUCAACUAGUUGUUGGGGAUUCAUUUCCUUAGUAACGUAGCUAACGCGUGAAGUUGACCGCCUGGGGAGUACGGUCGCAAGAUUAAAACUCAAAUGAAUUGACGGGGUCAUAGCUGUUUCCU
rnacentral:rRNA from 1 species